rnacentral:rRNA from 1 species
GGCGCCCAAAGGUUCCCUCAGAAUGGUUGGAAAUCAUUCGUAGCGUGCAAAGGCAGAAGGGAGCUUGACUGCGAGACCUACAAGUCGAGCAGGGACGAAAGUCGGGCUUAGUGAUCCGGCGGUGCCGUAUGGAAGGGCCGUCGCUCAACGGAUAAAAGCUACCCCGGGGAUAACAGGCUUAUCUCCCCCAAGAGUCCACAUCGACGGGGAGGUUUGGCACCUCGAUGUCGGCUCGUCGCAUCCUGGGGCUGAAGUAGGUCCCAAGGGUUGGGCUGUUCGCCCAUUAAAGCGGCACGCG